UGGGGAAUCUUGCACAAUGGGCGCAAGCCUGAUGCAGCCAUGCCGCGUGAGUGAUGAAGGCCCUAGGGUUGUAAAGCUCUUUCAGUGGGGGAGAUAAUGACGGUACCCACAGAAGAAGCCCCGGCUAACUCUGUGCCAGCAGCCGCGGUAAUACAGAGGGUGCAAACGUUGCUCGGAAUGACUGGGCGUAAAGCGCGCGCAGGUGGCCCGUUAAGUUGGCUGUGAAAUCCCCUGGCUCAACCAGGGAAGUGCAGUCGAUACUGGCGGGCUCGAGUCCCGGAGAGGGUGGUAGAAUUCCCAGUGUAGAGGUGAAAUUCGUAGAUAUUGGGAGGAAUACCGGUGGCGAAGGCGACCGCCUGGACGGGUACUGACACUGAGGCGCGAAAGCGUGGGGAGCAAACAGGAUUAGAUACCCCCGUAGUCC
rnacentral:rRNA from 1 species